rnacentral:rRNA from 1 species
GACGAACGCUGGCGGCGUGCUUAACACAUGCAAGUCGAACGGAAAGGCCUCUUUCGGUGGGUACUCGAGUGGCGAACGGGUGAGUAACACGUGAGUACCCCGCCCUUUACUUUGGGAUAACUUCAGAAAACUGGGGCUAAUACCGGAUAGGAGCUCCUGCUUCAGGGUGGGGGCUGGAAAGUUUCGGCGGUUGGGGGUGGACUCGCGGCGUAUCAGCUUGUUGGGGGGGUAGGGGCCUACCCAGGCGUUGGCGGGUAGCCGGACAGUGGGAGUGACAGGCGGCACAGGGACUGAGGUGAGGCACAGGUGCCUACGGGAGGAAGCAGGGGGGAAGAUUGCACAAUGGGUGGCAGGCGGAUGAAGAAGCGCCGUGGGUGGGAUAGCGGCCUUCGGGGUGAAGAACAGCUUCGCUUAAAACGACGCUUUGUGUGACGGUAGUGGAUAAAGAAGCACCGGCUAACUACGUG